GGUAGGUCCAAGCGCAGUGGUGUUUACAAUUAAUUGCUCACAACCAGUUACAGAUUUCUUUUUCCUUCUCCACUGCCUCUGGUUUUUCUAAU
ensembl:misc_RNA Y_RNA Y RNA